rnacentral:snRNA from 1 species
AUGCUUACCUGGUAGGGGAGAUACAUGAUCACGAAGGUGGUUUUUCUAGGGUGAGGUUUAUCCAUUGCUCCCUGGAUGUGCUGACCCCUACAAUUUCCCCAAAUGUGGGAAACUCGACUGCAUAAUUUGUGGUAGUGGGGGACUGAGUUCGUGCUCUCCCCUA